rnacentral:rRNA from 1 species
UACAGGGGGUGCAAACGUUGCUCGGAAUUAUUGGGCGUAAAGCGCGCGUAGGCGGCCACUUAAGUCGGAUGUGAAAGCCCUUGGCUCAACUGAGGAAGUGCACCCGAAACUGAAUGGCUUGAGUACUAAAGAGGGUCGCGGAAUUCCCGGUGUAGAGGUGAAAUUCGUAGAUAUCGGGAGGAACACCGGUGGCGAAGGCGGCGACCUGGGUAGAUACUGACGCUGAGGUGCGAAAGCGUGGGGAGCAAACAGG